rnacentral:rRNA from 1 species
UCGAUGAAGAACGCAGCGAAAUGCGAUAAGUAAUGCGAAUUGCAGAAUUCAGUGAGUCAUCGAAUCUUUGAACGCACAUUGCGCCCUGUGGUAUUCCGCAGGGCAUGCCUGUUCGAGCGUCAUUUCAACCCUCAAGCACUGCUUGGUGUUGGGCCCUGCCCGUCGCGGCCGGCCCUAAAGACAGUGGCGGCGCCGUCUGGCUCUAAGCGUAGUACAACUCUCGCUCUGGAGUCCUGCGGUAGCUUGCCAGAACCCCUAAUCUUAUGGUUGACCUCGGAUCAGGUAGGGAUACCCGCUGAACUUAA